rnacentral:rRNA from 1 species
UACGAAGGGUGCAAACGUUGCUCGGAAUUAUUGGGCGUAAAGCGCACGUAGGCGGCUCUAUAAGUCGGAUGUGAAAUCCCCCGGCUUAACCAAGGAAGUGCAUCCGAAACUGCAGAGCUUGAGUACUUAAGAGGAUCGCGGAAUUCCCGGUGUAGAGGUGAAAUUCGUAGAUAUCGGGAGGAACACCAGUGGCGAAGGCGGCGAUCUGGGAAGAUACUGACGCUGAGGUGCGAAAGCGUGGGGAGCAAACAGG